AGAUCAUGAUGUGGGCAAUUCCUUAGUAGGCCCUUGUAUCUCUCCCAUGCCUCAUAAAGGGACUCUCCGGCUUGUUGUUCAAAGUUGGCAACAACUUUCUUCAACUU